AAGGCUGGCCCAUGUCCGUGACCUUUAUCCCUAACUCGUGAACAAGCCGUCGCCGCACACCUGCUCUGCCUCUCCGUCUCUGUCUCUCUCCCUCAAACCCGACGGCGGCACUGGUUUCUCUCCGGCGAGCAUCUCCCUGCCCCUUGGCCCUACCCAUGUACCCCGUGGUCGUGGGAAAUUCUUCGCCACACGCCGGCUCUUCCGUUGGGUCUCUUUUCCCCAACCUCGACGGCGCCAGGGUUUGCUCUCCGACGAGAUGUGCUCCUUUGAUCUUGAGAUGCCACGGGUGCAUCUUCUCUUCUUAUGGCCCGGAGGUCAUGGCCGUGUUUAGAUUCGCAUCUUAUUCUUUGGAUUUGAGUUCAUUUGCCUCACCACGAACCUUUCUGCAGGAUCCAUGUUUCAGACGUUAGAGCCGAUCCCUGAUGCAUUUCCCGUGGAGUCGCGGGAUUUCAUGAGCAUCGCCGAUACCCAGCUGGGCCGCGGCGGCGAGGGCACCCUCUGUGCGGGGACGCCGGCUUAGGUUUUCUCAGAAGCCACCAGCGGCUGAACCAUGAGCGGCUGUCCUCCAUGGAUGAGUUUGCCGAAGCGCGGCAAGGUGGACCAUACAGUACGGAUGAUGCAAUAAUUGAAGAUAUGAAGAAGGAUUACAUGGUCGCGCAAGAGAUCAAGGAGAAUAACAAAUAAGCUUUAUGCAAUGGAUAAUUUGCAAGGCAAGGUUCUCCAUGCUUGUAUGUACGUUGCUGCUUUUGGAAUUUGGCAGUUGCUUACUGGUCAUGUUUGGUGAUUGAUGCUGAAUUCCUAGAUACAUUUUGUAAACAUUUGGAUUUGUCCAGGCGCAUGCCUGUAUGUACUAGAUGUUUACUUGUUUUCACUUAUCUGCAGAAGUGGUACGUUCCCUGUGAGAUUAAAUUAACUAGGUCCUAAUAAUGUAUUAUGUAAAAAUGUAUAUUUUAAUGGAGGUGUAUUUUCUGGUCA